rnacentral:lncRNA from 1 species
AGGAUAGAUUGGGCAAGGGGUUUGUUGUGUGCGUGACGAGUGACAAUAGGGGCACAACAAUUCUUAUGCCUAUAACCACUGGUAUGCGAGUAUAGUGAUUUAUCUUUGCACCAAUGAUCGAGCGUUAGUUCAUGUUUAUUGAUUCGAACCCAGGUCAGAAUUGUUUUGUUAUUUGAUUUAUCUACUUUUGUUAUUUCAGUUUUAGUUGGAAACCCCGUUCUGCCCAUAAGCACGUUGUGGUCAGAACACUGCAGGAUACAAAAUCUUUUUAGUGACACCUUUGCAGGAGAAGUUACUGCUCAGUUCCCUGUGGAUUCGACUCUGGACUUACCACUAGCUAGUCUAGUUGUGGGCACAGGAUAUUUUAUUUGCACGAAGCUCAACGACGGCUUCGUCAAAUUGGCGCCGUUGCCGGGGAACUGAGUACGCUAGUAAUUUCUUUUGCCUUUUGAGUUUGUUUGGCUUUAGUUUGCUUUUGUUGCUUGGUUCAGGCAAGAGGGUUCUCUUGAGCCCUCACCCAUGUUUGCCAAAGCAAAUUGUGUGGUGGGGGCUCCCAAAACUUCAUCCAGGUCUGUUCAGUUUAAUUUUUUUUUUCUCUGUUUUGGUUGACCCCCUCUAAACACCCACUUUGCCCAAAGCAAAGUGUGUGUGUGGGGGAGGGUCAACCCAAUUUUCAUUUGUUGUUGGUAAUCCUCCUUCUAACACCCUUUGCCUAAGGCAAAGUGUGUGAGUGGGGAGGAAUACCUGUUUUUUAUGUGUUUUGUUUGUGUUUCAGCAUGGUUCUCCUGAAGGACGUACGUAUUAAGGGCAAGAGAGUCAGAUCCACCACCUCUGUAGAGGUUACGCCCACAGUAAGCUUUCAGCCAUCUACCCCGGCAAGUAAGAACAAGGAGAAGUCAGAGAGCCAUGCCCCUUUGAGUGCAAGUAAUGACGCCCGUAUGGGCAUAACAGAAGCCAUGAUGAUGGAGAUCAGAAAAGCACUUUUUGCCUACUUUCCGAGCACUAGAUUCAGGUGCCCACCUGAACUCUGUUCUGGGCAUAACCCUCCUAGGUCUUAGUUCUUUUUAGUUUCGUUUUGAGUUCUGUUUUUCGACCCCUCUACACACCUACUUUGCCCAAGGCAAAGUGUGUGUGUGGGGUGGGCCGAGCGUUGUUUCUUUGUCCUGUGGUUAGCCUUUCGAUUUGCAAUCAAUUAUGCAUGAUUAUAUUCUAAGUUUGUUGUGCAAGUAGUCUGAGAUUUGAAUUUCAAUGCAUGCCGUAUGUAGUUGAGGACGAUGGAUAGGGUUGUGGGCAUACCAUGUGAGGUUUUGAGUUUUGAUAUAUGCUGUCUUGUGCCCAUAACAACUUUUUUCUUUCUUGUAUGAAAAUUGACAUCUUGACUAGGGUAAGCUAGAACUUGCCUUGAUUCUUAGUCGAACCCUGUGUACAUAGUCUAGGUGUGUUAAAUGAUUUAGGCAAUUCUUUCUUUAGCCCACAAAGCCAAACUGACCAACCCUACAUCUAUCACUUGUGAACCCUUUUGAGCUUAAUAAUUCAUUUGAAUUCACUUAUAAAUUUUGCCUAGAUUUGAGCCGUCCCGGUCAAACUGAACUUAAGGGCAAAAGAAGGGAAGAUAGUGUAGUGGACCUUAUGGGCAGGACUAGUGCAAAAAUUACAAAAUGGGACAUCUAAUCCCAAAAUAAAGAAAAAGUCCAGAAAGAAAAAAAAAGUAGAAAAAAAGAGUUAAUGUCUUGGUUAGUAUGUGCUUAGGCCCGCAAGAAUAGGCAGGGAUCUUAAAAAUUUGGGAAGUCUGUUGCCCAAAAUGAAGUUCAGAAUGACCUUAGCCUCGUACCAAAAUUCUCACCUUAUGUCUUAAGCCACGUUACAACCCAUGAAAGACCUAAUGAGAUGUACCUAGAACUUUGACUAAAGGGGAGACAAUAGAAGAUAGGCAAGCCUAUGGCAGAACCUAGCAUGAUGUCACGAGCGUAAACACUUCCCAAAAACACUUGAGAGAAUGAGCGAUGGGAGGAACAUCCUUACGCCCACAGAUCCCUUCUUGACUCAACUGAUGGCGUUUCAUUAAAUUUUUUUUUCUCUGAUUGCUUGCAUGUUUUGCUUAGAUAUUCUCUUGCAUUUUUGUAUUGUGUUUUGGUUGUGCUAACCCUUGUGUCGAGUCUUGUCCGUUUUGUUGUGUCUGUCUUUUGGGCAUAUUGCAUGUGCACGCUUGAGGACAAUUGUGUUUAAAGUGUGUGCGUGUGAUGAGCCCAUGUUUGUGCUCGUUUUUCGUGUCUGUUUUAGGUCUAGAUAGAGUCUUUUNGUGAAUAUAGUGAUUAAUCUUUGUCACCAAUGAUCGAGUGUUAAUUCAUGUUUAGUGAUUCGAACCCAAGUCAGAAUUAUUUUGUUAUUUGAUUUAUUUACCUUUGUUAUUUCAGUUUAAGUUGGAUACCCGUUCUGCCCAUAAGCUCUUUGUGGGCAGAACACUGCAGAAUACAAACCCUUUUUAGUGACACCCUUGCAGGAGGAGUUACUGCUCAGUUCCCUGUGGAUUCGACUCUGGACUUA